rnacentral:rRNA from 1 species
UACGUAGGGUGCGAGCGUUGUCCGGAAUUAUUGGGCGUAAAGGGCUCGUAGGCGGUUUGUCGCGUCGGGAGUGAAAACCUUGGGCUUAACUCAGGGCUUGCUUUCGAUACGGGCAGACUAGAGGUAUGCAGGGGGGAACGGAAUUCCUGGUGUAGCGGUGAAAUGCGCAGAUAUCAGGAGGAACACCGGUGGCGAAGGCGGUUCUCUGGGCAUGAUCUGACGCUGAGGAGCGAAAGUGUGGGGAGCGAACAGG